CACUCAUUCAAAAAAUCCAAAUUAAUCGCAAAAAUCUCACUUUUAACAACAACUGGACAACAAAGUAUGAAUGUUCUGCCCCGAGCAAGUGGUCGAGUCAUUGUUUCCUGGCGGACCUUUUAAGCGACGGACACGUUGAAACAGACAAGCAGGGACAAGGGCAGAAAUUCCAGCGUGGAAGCUUCAUCGUGGAACUUGGUCAAACUUUUCGUUUGUGGUUUGCAUGAGAGGACCAUUUUCCUCGGAAAUGUAUAACUCUGAUAAGAGAAACCUCCACUGCAGAUGACAUUGGUUUUGAGUUUCUCGAGCCAGAUUCUGGGUCUACACUCUGACAAUACGGGGGCGAAGUUUGUUCUCCCGGGAUGCAGACGGACUAAUUGCGGACAGGACUUGAAGGCGCUCCAAGCCAAAAAAGAAGAACGUCACUCUUCCUGCAGGCAUCCUCACACACAACAGAUCAUAAGUCAGCGCCCGAGGCAGUGCAGGAGUGUCAUAUCCAGAUGUUCCCCAUCUCGACUUGUCACAUCUGUCAGCUUGCUGGAGCAGCGCAAUAAACAACGCUGUGGGAUGAAAAAUGACCCGCAGAUUGUUCUUCCACCACAAAGGAGAGGAACACAAGUGACUGCGCGCGGCACGUUUCUGGGUCAGCGCCAGUUCUGAGACGCUCGAAAGAGAGAAAGACUUCCCCCUCGGCCUCCAGAGCCUUAACAGCAGCCACACUUUAUGAGCAUGUAUGGCGGGCACGUUGGAGCGAGAGAAAGCAGCAGAAAAAGAAAUGACCUGACAAAAGUAAGGGUGGCGUGUGGGUGGCGUGAAUAUAAAUGAAAUGGAUUGCGCAUCAUGGUCGCCGCCGAAGAAAAACAGCCAACAGCUGAGGUCAUCCAUCAGCACGAGUGUUCGGGCCCCAAACCUGCUGAGGCAGCGAAGGGAGAGGGAGGUGAAAGAUCAAUCAUGGCAGAGGAGGAAGUGAGCGAGGGCGAAGAUUCAUAUGCUUGACAGAAUAGCCAGUUUGUGGGAAAUUAUUGAAAAAAAAUGCCGCCCUCAUCGUGUUUUAUGGACUCUUCUCACAACAUCUCAGUAGGAUUUUAGAAGUGCUCAAUUUAUGAUUUACUUUGGGGCAUAUUUCAAGCUUUGUUAGUUCGUAUAAAACUAUAAAUGCAUAGUGAUGUCAGUGAUGUCAUCCUAAUUUAACCACAUGUAAUCUAACGUGUGAUUAGUGUU